UACAGAGGGUGCAAGCGUUAAUCGGAAUUACUGGGCGUAAAGCGCACGUAGGCGGCUUGGUAAGUUGGAUGUGAAAUCCCCGGGCUUAACUUGGGAAUUGCAUUCAAGACUGCCUUGCUAGAGUGUUGGAGAGGAAAGCGGAAUUCCAGGUGUAGCGGUGAAAUGCGUAGAUAUCUGGAGGAACAUCAGUGGCGAAGGCGGCUUUCUGGCCAAACACUGACGCUGAGGUGCGAAAGCGUGGGUAGCAAACAGG
rnacentral:rRNA from 1 species